AUGGAGAGGCGUGUCUUCCCUUCCAGCUGACCUGCCUAGGCUCUCUGAGUUCCAGGUCCCGUGAGAGACUCCACUCAGAGGAGGGCUGUCAUUCUUUCCUGAGCCUCACGGGGAUCCCAGAGCCCGUCCAGGACCAGCAGGAUCUCUCACCCCGGGAAAAUGUUGGGUGCCCAGUGCAUGCUAAGUGCUGGGCCCACAGCCUCGUCGGCCUGCGGGGCUGUCACCGGCCCUCCGGAUCGCCAGCCUGGGUUACUUCAUCCGGGAAUGAUUCAGACGAAUUUCGUCUCCCAAGGAAUGAGCGCAUUGCCCAGAGAGCAAUGAGCGGAGACUCGGGUGAUUGUCCAUUUUUCAUCCAUAUGGUUCACAGAUGAGAUAGCCCCACGUUGAGCCUGCAGUGGAGCUCGACGUGGAUAGUCCCGUCCACACAGGGGUCACACUCAGGCCGACUGAAGCGUGGUUUCGGGUUCCACAUUCCUUUGCCUUCUGCAAGGGGGCCUGUUGCUCAUGUGUCUCUGGCCCCUGAAAGCGUGACCAUGUUGACUGUUUGUUUCCCGAGCUCUGUGGGGACACAGAAACCUCCAGAGAAGCAUGGAAAAGCAGCAUCGUGUCUUCGCUCUCCUUUCCAGUUUCCUGUUUGGAAACAGGCCAUAGUGGAGACUCCCCAUGUUGCAGGAAACAGGAAUCCAUCGUCAGGCCGUGAUGCACAGGGCGUUUCUUUUCUCUGUAGUUUCGCUCUCGUUUUCUACAUGAAAAUGAACGAGAUCCGGAAGGAAUCAAAAAAGGAUUUAUAGUACACAAGUCUUGACUACUGUUGCAUUCCACUUUGAAAUCACUCUGAGCUAAAACAACAAUUUUCCAAGAUUUAAAGAAAAAUUGAUUUUAUAAAAGGGAUUCUUUUAUUCACUCAAUACAUCAUUUAUGUUACUGACAGUAACAAGUGACAUUUUUUCCACUAUAAUUUGCUCUGAUGAAAGAAAUAAUUCUUUUAAUUCCUAACAAAUGCUACAUUUUCAAGACUAAAGGAAUUAUCAGUAGGCAUUCUUUUUUCUUGAUCUAAGUUAUUUGUCUCUAAAAUAUGUCAAGUAAGCUUUUAAAGAUUCAGGGAGGGGCAGCGUCAUGAUUUUUUCUCUCACUAAAUAUUGAGGUGGCUCCUCUGGCUUCAUCGCUUCACUGUCAUCUUUUUCUUCCUCUUCUUUGUUAUCUUCUUCCAUUUUUUUCAUCCUCCUCACUGUCUAGAGGCUGAGGAAUAAGCUGAUUACCCACAAAUACGUAAGUGGUAAUUCUCUGUUUAACUCACUUUCUUUUCCUUUUGGGUGGAGCCCUUUGAGGAACCCCCUUGGCCUGCAUCUCAUCAUUUAUGAAAUUUCUAAGUGUGCGUUGAAUGUAAAUACGGGCCAAGUCCUGUAGAUUCCUGACAGUGAUUCCUUACAGAUUUGUAGUGGUGAGGGUUAGAUUUAAUUUUAUAUAAGGUUUAAAUAAUUGUUAAGCUUAUAUAACCUGAUCUGAAUUUGCAUUUCCUCUAUGAAAACUUCAAUUAUCUACUAAGGAAAUCAAAUGCUUUGUACAUCUAUUUACAUUACUUUUGUUGCAAUUACUGUUGUUGGGUGGCUGUAUAUAUAUUCCGGGCAAUAUAUGAGUGCAAUAACAAUACAAAAUAUUGAAUAAUUUCGCUUUUAAAAGUCCCACAAAUUUUAUGAAAUUUUACAGCACUGCUACGUUUGCUUUUGAAUCUCUUGACAAAAGACAUGAGUAAAAUAUUUGCUUCUCUCAUAGAGAUUUUAAGAGCACAGCAAGUGCAUUAUUAAAAUAGGAAGUAUGUACUUAAUACAACUCUUUCUAUGGACCCUUUACAUUUUCAGUAUUUUAAAAAAUGAGGUUAUCUUAACUCUCUAGAAUUUUAAAAGUAUAUUUAGAAUUUUUUUUCUCUAGUUCACUGUAUAAAGUAUUUGGUUUUUUUAAAAAAGCAAAACCAUUGUUAUGUGUGACUCUUGAUAGGCCACAGAACCAGUGAAUGAGCAUGAGUGAGGCCACUUUCUUAGAUGGCUGUAAGUAGCAGGGCCACGGUAGACCUGGUCAGCGGAUGCACUUUAGCAGAUGGAACUUCUAGUUUAUCUGAAUAUUUAUCUUUGACAAGGUAGGGCUGAGCCUACAUUUGCUUUGGAUCUUUCUAAUACAAGAAAUAUUCACAGAAAUUGUAUGUAGAUACCCUUUGUUUUGAAAAUCCUGUUCAGAAUCAUAGUGUAAUCUUUGGGACUCAUGCCAUGCUCAUUUGACUUCUUCCUAUAUUUUUUAUGUUUCUUUUGGUAAAACAAUAAUGGUUUUCAUUUUUUACUUAAUAUCACAUAAUUAAACUGUCCAUAUUUGAGCUUUAUUGUAGCAUAUCAGUGAUAAAAAACAGGUAGUAACUGCCAUUGUUUGUUUGUUUGUUUUCCUAAUAAGGCCUGAAAACAGCCAUUCCUUGUUAAGAAAGUGAGCAAUGUAACAUAUUUGCUAGAGAUACAUGGAUUAUAUAUUUCUUAAAGGGAAAAAUUUGAGAGUAUCAUGGACUACCACCAGCAUUAUUAUUACAAUAGUUGCUCAGAUUUGGUUAAGGAAGCCCAAUCAAUGUAUAGUGAAAGGAUUAUUAUCUCUCUACUAAGAUUCAGAUAUUGUUUCAAAAAUCUCAGCUCCAAUAAUUCCACAACAUCUAAAAACAAGUGUUUGUGAUCAUGUGUAAACAUGAAAUUGUUCCAAGUAAGUGAGGAUAUUUUAGUUAUGUGAAAGACAGUAUGAAUGGAAGGUUAUUUGUUUUAUACCAGUGGCUGAGAUGGUGGAAUUGGGGUUAUUUCUACAGUUAUUCUUAGAUAAUUACUAAACUGUUAAGAAAUGCCCCAUAUCAUUUGUAUCUAGGAAAGAAAAAAAAUCAGUAUCAUACUGUUGUCAUCUGUCAGAAAUGUUCAUUUUAUUUUGAAUUAAAUGUGGCUUUUGAAGUUACCUUGAAUUCCUGGUGACCACAUGUUUUUAUCUGGAAAACCUGGGGAAGUUAUCUGUCUCAUCUACUCUGCUUUUUUUUUUUUUUUUCUCGGUUGGAGCUGCUGUUUAGAUGAUGCUUUUACUAUGUAGGAGAGAGUUUUUGUUAAGGAUAUAUUUGAAGAUUGGCUUUUCCAUAUUGUCCUUCAUUCUUUGACCUUGGCAAAGUGUACAGUAGAUUUUCAUGAUCAUUGCAUACUUCUUGUCACUAAAAUGUAUCUUUUAUGUUUUUAAAUACAUUCAUUUUACA